AGGAUUAACGCUGGCGGCGUGCCUAACACAUGCAAGUCGAACGAGGUAGCAAUACCUAGUGGCAGACGGGUGAGUAACGCGUGGUCAACCUACCGUUGAGUGGGGGAUAACUAGCCGAAAGGUUAGCUAAUACCGCAUACGAGUCUCGGGGGCAUCCCUGGGUCUUAAAAGGAGCAAUCCGCUCGAUGACGGGACCGCGUCCCAUUAGCUAGAUGGUGGGGUAAUGGCCUACCAUGGCUCCGAUGGGUAGCUGGUUUGAGAGAGCGACCAGCCACACUGGGACUGAGAAACGGCCCAGACUCCUACGGGAGGCAGCAGUGAGGAUUUUCCGCAAUGGGCGAAAGCCUGACGGAGCGACGCCGCGUGUGGGAAGAAGGCCUUCGGGUCGUAAACCACUGUCGAAGGGGACGAUAAUGACGGUACCCUUGGAGGAAGCCCCGGCUAACUACGCGCCAGCAGCCGC
rnacentral:rRNA from 1 species